rnacentral:rRNA from 1 species
UACGGGGGGGGGCAAGCGUUGUUCGGAAUUACUGGGCGUAAAGGGCUCGUAGGCGGCCAACUAAGUCAGACGUGAAAUCCCUCGGCUCAACUGAGGAAGUGCAUCCGAAACUGGCAGGCUUGAGUACUAAAGAGGGUCGCGGAAUUCCCGGUGUAGAGGUGAAAUUCGUAGAUAUCGGGAGGAACACCAGUGGCGAAGGCGGCUCACUGGUCCGGUACUGACGCUGAGGUGCGAAAGCGUGGGGAGCAAACAGG